GAGUUUUUGAAUUAAUUUUUUAACUCAAAUAGGUAUAUUGUUAGAUGUUCGUAUGUAGGUACGCAAUAUCCGACAUAUAUGUAAAACUUUAGGUAAUAAAUAAGUAAGUAUUACCUAAGUAUAUAGUUUUUACACCAUUAUUAUUCGUCAUGACAAUUUAUAAAGGAUUUUAAUCAAACGAUGGACUCUUCCUGUUGGAUUCUUCUGUUUUACGCUUGCUUUUGUUUUUCAGCUAGUCACCAAGAUAACGGCGACCCAGCAUUAUCACGCAGACUGUAUAACAAUCCUUACCACCCGGAAGACGACGAAAUUACACCCAGCGACACGGAGUCCGAUAACCUGAGGAGUGGAUUGUUCGAAGAUCUGUCAAAGGAAUUAGCUCUCGAUAUGGUUACAGUGUAUCUAAACGGAACUGAAUCAACGGACUUGCCUGAAACUCAAACUGAUUACACGCGAGAGUCAUAAUAUUUUUUCCAGUGUCAAUUACGCGAGGAUAAUUCGGAGAAACUUGUUUUAAUAAAUAAAAUGAACAGCACAACGUAACACUGAGACAACUCGUAAAUAUCAUAGUAAAUGUGACAAGCUGGGAAUGUUUGCUACCAAUAUAUUUUUUAUGUAUCACUGCAUUGUAUAAAACGGAGUCGCUUUCCGUUGUCUGUCUUUAAAACUACGCUACGGAUUUUGUUGCGGGUUAUUUAAAUAUGUACUUAGUUGUAACAUGCAUAAUAUUUAGUACCGUGCUAAGCCGGGGCGGGUCGCUAGUAUCUAAUACAAUAAAUGCGAUCUAGCCAAAUAGCAGGUUUUAUAAAGUCCACAGUUAAGUAGGUAUGUAUGUUUCUUCCGUCGUCACUUUCUUGUGACUCAUACACUAUUUUAGUCACUAUUAAGUAUAUGUAUUAUUAUUGUUAUCACUUCACUAAACAAAGUCAGUUCUUUUGUUAAGUAUACUUUUUAAAGCACCUAUGUCACUCUCUAUCAAUCUCCACACCAAAAAUCACUUCAUUCUAUUUUUAUAAAUUUUUACAAUCGUGACGUGAAAUAUGAGCUUCGUCGCAAAAUACCUCGGUUUUAGCUUUCUAAGCAACCUCAUGGUAGAAAUUGUAAAUACCUAUGUUAUUGAAAAAAAAAUUUUUAAUAUUCCGCGACUAAACGCCAAACACAUUAUGUGAAAAACAAAAUAUUUAAUCAUUUGAUUUAGUGUACCUAUGUAGUUAUAUGUAUAAUAGUGAUUAAAUUGUGUAAUAGCACCAUAUCUAUAAUAUCUAUCUAUAUAUAUAUCUAUAAUACAAAUUAGUGUGGAUUAUUUGCUCGAUGUAAGCACAGUUUAAGACCAUGAGGGGAUAUAUUUUGUCAAGUCCCAAUUUUAAAGAAAGGACGUUUGAUUGCGAUUAAAAAUAAAACAAUUCUUUAUUUAACGUAAAUAAUAUCCUAAUGUUUUUAAUUGUCAUAAUCCUCGUCUUGUUUCAACUUCUUCCCUAUAUCUUUGCAUGCACCGGCAUCUGAAAAUGAGGUUAUUAAGUUUAUUUAUUAGUUGCGCCCCGGGAAUUCGCUGCCGUAGGAAUUUCGGGAUAAAAAAUUAGGUACCCUAUAUGUUAUUCCAGGUUAUAUUCUACCCGUGUACCAAAUUUCAUAAUAUUCCGUCCAGUAGAUUUUGCGUGAAAAAGCAACAAACACAAACACGUACAUCCUCACAACUUUCACAUAUAAUAUUAGUAGGAUUAGGAUUUUAGGGUCUACGAAACACAAAACACGUAGCACGUGCGUUCACACGUUCUCUUUUUUUACAAGAUAUGGUAAAAAGACACAGCAUAUGAACGGUAGUAACGUGUAAAAGUACUUUUGGUUAACGAAAUAUGUCUCUCUCGAUAUCAAGAUUCUUUUUAGUAAAACAUACGUAAAAUCAAACUGAAAAUGCUUUUUGAUCUGAAGCCGAAAGAAAGGGUUCUCUCCGAGUUGAUUCGUAAUGAUUCAACUACUAGUAAAAAUGUAAGAUUUAAUUAACAUUAAAAGUCGAUAAUUUAGUAAUUUAUUUAUCAGAUGCCUUAUCUUACCUAUAAUUUCGAGACCAUUUUCAUCUACCAUGAUAGAAUUUCUGUUUCUACAUCGAAUGAAUGCCAAAACUGGAUCUGCGUCAUCUCGAUCGUAGACCUUCAAAAGUCCAAACACAAUUUUGGUCAGUCUAAGGGUACCUACGAAUAAAAGAUACCUUAGAACCGGAAUAUCACAGAUUCGAAUACUGCUCGGUGACUCUCGAAUCGUGAGUCCGUUCCAUCAGAUUUUUACACCAAACAUAGUAAAUAUAUAAAUAUAAUUAUACAUAUUUAGCUAGUAGCUAAAUAUUCAAUCAGUAGCAUUCAAUUUUCGACCUUCUUGACUUCAUAUUGUUUUCUUUGAUAUUUACUUAUUUUUAGAUGGAACGAUGUUUAGCCGGUUAAAUCUAGAUGUAGCCGCAUAUCGGAGUUUACCCGUAGCAUACUUAAAGUAUACCUAUAUAUACAUACAUAAAUCUAUUAUUUGCUACGUACCUUAUUUAGGCAUAAUAUUUUGACAAAACGUUGCUCCCUAAUCGAAUAAUAGUACUUACUUAAUAUAUAAAAGAAGACACUGAAUGACUGACUGACAUAUCAACGCACAGCCCAAACCGCUGGGUCUAGAAACUUCAAAUUUAGCACGCAGGUUCCUUAUGUGGUUUAGGGCUACACUAAGAAAGAAUUUUUCAAAAUCCAUCCGUCUAAGGGGUUUAAAAGGGGGUUCAAUUUUUGUAUGGGGAAACCUGAUUAGUUAAAGAGUCUAAAUGUUUCACUGAAGGGAAAAUCACGCGGGCGAAGCCGCGGGCAAAAGCU